CGUGAGGAACAUGACCUUCGGCGGGGGAUAGCCGGCCCAACGGCCGGGUAAUACCGCGUACGACCAUUUGGGGACAUCCUCGAGUGGUGAAAGCAGCAAUGCGCCGAUGGAGUGCCUCGCGGCCUAUCAGCUAGUUGGUGAGGUAACGGCUCACCAAGGCGACGACGGGUAGCUGGUCUGAGAGGAUGGCCAGCCACAUUGGGACUGAGACACGGCCCAG
rnacentral:rRNA from 1 species